GGAAAUUACCUUCCAACAAAUCAGAUUAUUUUAGUUCAGGCUCACGAGAACCCACAAGGUCUUCGUUGCCGAAGAAAAGAACGAUUUUGCUUGUUGCUCCUGUAGCACGCGGUCGCCUCACUGACAGUAAACAAUAAAACCAGUGAGCAUGACGCCACAACGCGUGACGCCACAACGCGUGACGCCACAAUGCGUGACGCCAUAACGCACGACGCCAUAACGCACGACGCCAUAACGCAUGACGCCAUAACGCAGUGCUGUUGGUGGCAGUCAUUGAGCAGCUGAAAGCAAAAUGAAGAAUGGUCCGUUUCCUAAGCAUGAGUAGUCACUGAAAUUCCGGUGUUCUCAGGUGGAUGCGGAUACAUUUUGGAGAAAGAAACAUGGAGGCAGUUUGGUCAACAGCUCUGAAUAAUUGCCCUGGAUGGUUCUUUGCACUUGUUACUACGAUUUGGAUGUGGUUUGUUCCCCAAAAACUCAUGUGUUCGGAGAUACGGUCUUCCAUGUCGUAAAGCAAUGGACCUUUAAGAGGUGGAGACAGGAAUAACUCCUCGUGUCAUCAGAGCCAUGCUUUUGGAAGGAUUUAUGAAACCCCGACCUUUCUGUAUAGAAAUGUGGUUUCUUCCAUCCACCGACCGUUCGGCUUGAGGCGUCGCCUAUCACGAUGUUAUCAGCAGGAUUGAAUGAGCAGCACUAUGGGCUAACCCCACCUCGUCGCUUUAUAAAGCUUACCUGCAGCAGGCAAUGAACUCUAGCAGAGAAAAGAGACUCAUCCGAUUGGCAGUGAACAAGUCGUGAGUGACUGAAGUUUGACUUGUUUCAGAGUACGGAGAGGAUGGUUGACUGCCAAAUCUGUCAAAACUUUAUCCGGGUUUGGAUCAGUUCCCUGCGGUGCAGCAGACUGACUUCUGCCAUGAACUGAUCAACAUCACGUGGCAAAGUUCUGACACAGAGUGGAUACAUGUGGUAGAGCCUCCCCUACACAGAACAGUCCUCGGAGCCCACAGAGACACAGAUACGCAGAAAACGCACGAUGUAUGUGUUACAUGAGGCAUGAGGAGAUGGAGAAGGGAAAAGAGUGUGCAGAAGAUGCUCGAAGGAACGAUGCGAUGUAGAAAUUAGAAAAUUAGGAAAUUAAAAAGCUGGCCCGUGGGUCCUAGUGGUGCACGUCCCUCCCUAUUAAACACUCUGAAGCUUAACAAUCACUCUUUGCAGACUAAGGGGAUGGGAUGACUUAGUGCUUGUCAAACUUCUGUCAGAAAGCCUAAUGUUCUGAGUUUGGUUUGCACACGUAUCAGGACCGAGUGAUCGAUGGUUAGGUACAAAGGACGCUGAAACAAGAUACUUUUAGGGACCCUCAAAAUAUUAACAUUUUUACGACCAGAAGGGAAAGAGAGAAUUUCAGAGACGAAGAUUAGGCUCACUGUCACCCACACAGUCAGACCAGUACAGACCAAUAGAGAGAAAGCUCUAAAUCACACAAUGGCCAAGACCUAAAAAAAACCCAGACCAAGACCUUGCCACAGCUACUGGGUUUAAAACAAAACGUUUUUUUCCCUCUCAUUCAAUUCACGUUUUCUUAAAUAUAUCCAAAAAGAAACUAGGACGGAAUACCAUUCCCAUAAAGAGAAA